GCGGCCCGCCGCCAUAUUGGCCCCGGCGCCAUCUUGCGGGAGGGUUGUGGUGCUGCUGUCCGGGCAGCGCCGUCACCUCCCGCGGUCGCCCGCCGCCGGCUCUCAGCCUUCUCCCUGCGACACAGAGGUUGUGUGGCCGCCUUUCGUCCCGGCGGCGGCCCGACGCCUGUCACACCGCCCGGCGGUGCCUCAUGGGGGGGAAGGGGCAGCCCCCAGCCUGAGACAAAGCCCCCAGGAGCCGUGAGGCGGUUGCCAAGGGAGGAGUCAAAGCUCGCUGGCGGGUCUUGUUUCCUCAAGCACCCAGAAAAUAACGUGGGGCAUCGCCUGGGGUGAAGGGGGAGUGGGCUCACCACAGAAAGCGCUUUGAAACAGAAAUUGCUGCCAGAAACCAUUGCAGUUUCUGUAUCUUCAAGAUCAGCCAUGCUGUUGUGAAAAAGACCAGUUAAAAUGGAAAACAGUGAAAAAAUCUGAGAAACAGUGCUGUUUUGUUGGCCUGUUAUAACCUGAAUGAGCUUGCAGAAGUCUGCAAGUCCGAGAAGGGAGUCCCAGACAUUUUUCCUUUUGACCGCUUGAGGUUCAACUAACAGCGCCUUCUCCUGGAUACACCCACCUCAGGUGCCGUUUUCAUGCCGCAUGCUGUAGCAUGGGUGCAGUGCACAAACCACUGUCUGGGAACUCACGGAUUACUAGUGAACUUCUAGUAUUUCUCCAUUUUCACAAUAUAAAGAAUAACAAAAAUCCUUCCGUUAAGGUGCUGUGGAGUUUAUCUUUUCUCUGAUUUGCUAUAAUCUGAACCUCCAGCUUAAGCAUCUAAGUACUUCUGUAGCUCACAAAGUUGUGGACAUGACCUCAAAUGCACUCUUCAAGUAUUUGCAGACAUAUUCUGUCAUUUAUUGCAAAGGUCUGGACAUACAUAUGCAGUGGUAACUUGAUGAGCUGUAACUACAGACAUACAGUAAGUUACAGGAAGAGCAGAGGAUCUUUAAAAAAAUAUAUAAGAAGGAAAAAAAUCAGGAACAGUUUGUUGAUGGAUUGCUUAUUGACACUAACUACUUAGUUCUGCUGCCAAUAAUUUUACAUUGCAGCUGCCCUUGAAGCACAGAUGUAAGCAUAGAUGUAUCUUCCUCCCCUUCCUUCCCCAGUGCCUGCUACAGACUGUGCAGCUCCGCUACUGCUCUCUCACCUUCCUGCACCCCAGCAAAAAGGGCAACAUGCCCCACACAGUGAGCAGCACCCAUAUACAUGGCACACAGCUAGUAAGGUCAUCAUUAACCAUUUUGUUCUAGCUGUUGUGAAACCCCUUAUUUCAGUGAUUUAAAUGGAUUCACACAGGUAUUAAGAGUGUGAUCCUUUGCAGCUAAGCCAUUGAAGAAACAGAAAUACUUACAUUUCACAGAAUCCAUUAAUAACUAUAAAGCCUUUAUUUACAUGCUGCUCAUUUACAGUCUAGCUUCACAUCGACAUGGAACACUGCACCCUAACACUGUGUUGCAACAUACAGCAAUGGCCCUUAGUACAACAUUAAAAGAUGACAAAAGAAUCUGAGUAAAAAUGGAUGGCACAUUUAUUGACUUCAAGGUUCUUCAAAAAUUCAAUCCAUAGGCAGAAAUUACUUUUGCUUCUUUCAGAUAAACAUGUUAGUUUACACCUCUGUAGAAAUGCCAAGUGUUUUCAUUCUAUUACAGAGACAAAUAGGUAAUAUUCACAUUUGUCUUCAGCUUUUCUAUCAAAAUGCAGUUCUGCAAAAUUUUCAGAUUUUGAUAGCCAGGAAAGGUUUUCAGCAAAUCAGAUCUCCCAUGGUAAAUCUUGCUUUUUCUAAAUUAAAAUGUACUAUUCUACCUUGUAUCUACAAAAGAUGUUUCCAAAACUUUUUUUCCUCCCCUGCUAAUAAAAAUGACAGUCAUUUAUUUUCAGAAACACAUACAAGUAAUUCACUUUAUCAUCAAAACAUGUAUAUCUGGAAAAAUACAGGAAUGCUUUUCUGAAAUUCUGGCAGGGACAGAGAAAGGAAAUUGUUCUUCGUAGCUGGUUAGAUACCAUAUUCUUUUAAAUAUACAGUAAAUUCCCUACUUGUCCUUAAGCUCAUUUAGUGCUUUGCUGAACUCAUAUCUGUGUCUGAUUUAAAUCAUUUAAAAAAAAUCUGUUUUUCCUUUAAUUCCUGUGCACUGUGCAGUAUUUCUUUCAUAUUUGUGGUGAAAGUGAUUCACCAACAACUGAAGGGAGAAAUGAAAAUGUGUCACUCACGCCAUAACUAGUGGUGAUAGAGCUGGCAGCAUUUUAUAAAUACCAUCUUGUAAGGUAUUUAUUUAUUUCAACCUUUUUAGUCUAGAGGAACUUCAGAUUUUAUAAAUGAACAUUUUGUGUCUGGGUAAGAAGGAAGAGAAGCAAUCUUACCAACACCAACGAUGUGCAAGAUGACGAGUAUGUUUUGUACAAAUUUUAAAAGUGUAAGUUGUAAUUAUCAUUAAAAAAUCAAAUAAAGGAAAUGAGAAAAAAGGUAAAUUAACUUGCAUGCCUUUGAGAUUUAAAAAGCCGGGCAAGUCAUCCCCAUUCUGUUUAUUAGCACAUUAUCAGAAAACAAUCAUCUAUACGAAAACUGACAGUCACCUCAGCUAGGUGUAAUACUUGCACACACUGCAUUUUGCAUACAGAAUAUGUCAAAGGUAAGAUGCAAAUGCCUCCAUCAUUGCCAGCAGUGACGUGUAAGAAAUGCUAAUCUAUUUGAAACUAAGUAGGUAGCUGGAGUAGCUUCUGAAACUACAUGGGAACACAGGAGGUGACCAGACGGAUGGUAGAGUCACACAUGGUAAUUUCUUUUUGUGUUCUUACCACUAGUUUUCCUACUUGUUUAAAAGCUAAACUUAACCCUAAUUUUGAUCAUCAACAAGCUGAUCUAGAUUGAAGAAAGCCCAGCAUAUCCUAUUACCUUGUCUGCAGAACAACAAAACUCUCUGCUUUAGGCUUCCAACAUGCAUCACUGUAACUACAUAUCUAAGCGUACUAGACAGCAACUUACAUAAGCCUUCUCACUGUGGAGGUUGUAUAUAGAUCAUUAGGUAACUCUGAACUCCACCUUCUUGCUAAAUUUUGUUACAUAAAUUGAGUGUUAAUAUUUGCCACCUAAUUAUGCACAACCCUUUGUUUCAAGCAUAUUGGAAUAAACAGAUUAAAUAAAGAGAAUAUGAAGUGUGCAACAGGUAUUUGUAUGAGUGAGCUAUCUGAUGAAGGUCACAUUUGAAGGUGAACUUCUCAGCAGUUGUAGUGAUUUUAUAAUGUUUUGUAAGACUUAUAAAAUUCAUCACCAAAAUAACAUCAGAUGAUUAUAGAUAAAUACACAAUCAUAGAACUAUUCCCUGGUACACUUCUCAAAAAAAAAACCACCACCACCACACACACACAAAAAAAGUUAAUCAUCCCUCCAGCCAACUGUUGGCCAUACAUUUAUGGCUUUUCCAAGAGGAUAACUGUAUUCUUUAUGGGAUCCAGUAUGGCUGAAUGAGUAGUGGGAUCAGUUUCCAUUUUGUCUUCACAUUAAGAGGCAAAGUAGCACUUAAAAUAUUACUUUGGGAACACCCAAAUUGAGUUUCAUUUAAAACUAUGUCAUGCAGUCUGCCAGAAAAGGAAGUCUCAUUUCCAAAUUUGGGAUCUUUAAAAGGUCUGAAUUACCACACUUCAGAAGCUUUGAAGUGACUGUACAUACACGAGCUUACUCAUAGUAGCUCACUAAUAUUUUGCAAAGUAUGCUUUCAGCAUUUUCUUAUAAAAUAUCUGCAUAUAAGUAGCAUUCAGUAUUAGGAAGAAAAUAUUAGUCUAUUCAGGACUGACAUUCCUGCUGAAUUCUGAGGCCUGCUUCCAUACUUCAAAGUAGCAGAUAUUUACCCAACCUACAAGCAGACAUUUAACAUUAACAACCUUUCCAGUCACUUCUCCUUGACAUUACAUACAAACACCGUAAGUAUAUACUUAAAUUCAAUGCUUUAUUGAAUCACAGCAACAUAAUAAUUGAAUUCUCAUUUUCAAAUUGUAAAAAAUUCAGUUUAUAAGAGGGCAGAGAUUUUAGAUGCAUUUCUUUUUUCUGUAUACACAUCCUUUGAUUGAGAAAUUAUUCUCAAGUGUUACCUUCACCAAUGUACAAGAAUUCAUCCUAGUUGUUUAGGAAGUAUUUACAAUGUUCUAACUACUAAAGAAACAAAACUCAUAUUUACACAAGCAUUGUCAGUUUUAUUUCAUUUUCUUUCGACUCUGUCCCUCUUCAUGACUAUGGGUCUCAGUUUCUAAAACACUACUUAACUGAGUAAUUCCCAACUGUUUUUCUCACUAGCAAACCAGCAAGGUAUUUGGUACAAUGACCAC